UCCCUCUCCCUUGACUCAGCUCAUCCCUCUUCCCUAUUAUCAUGCUCUCUCUCAAACGAUAAUCAGUUUCGAAGUCUCAUUACCUUCAACCUUCUUCAUCUUAAUCAACAAGGUUCAAACAUUUUAUGAGAAGUACAUGUAUAUGUAUUGGGACUAAUGUCUCUCGUCAGAUAAGAAUUUGAUAGCGUCCAACCUAAUGAGGUAAUUUGGAAUCCCUAUUUCAAGCCUGAUGAAGUCAUUUAAAAUGCUAGGCAGCAGGCAUAUCAAACUGCAAUGUGUAUUACAACACUGAUAUUUGACGAUAUUGCCGAGCCUUACAUACCAGAUCAAGUACGCCAACAAUUUAGCGCUAAAUAGGGCAUUCCUAGGAAUCCCUUGGUUGUUAGUAAGAGGGCUAGCAGACAAGGUGGACAGUGAGAUUGACGAACUGUUAACGCAGACAAAAUCGCUCACUGGUUGUCUCGCCAUGACCGCAUGAUGCCUGAAAUUGUAGAAGAUACUGACAAUGGGUUACCCUCAGAGGAGUACAAGGCUUGAUACAACCUAAUAGCUCAUCCUCUAAUACAUAAUGUCGUUAACCCACCCAACGACAUAUGCAACCUCAUAUCCAGGAAGAAGAAGAUGUGGUUCCUGCUCAUGAACCACAGUAUAUAAUGAGACCUCGAGGUUAUGAGGACAAGUUGGUUGGUGCAGUUCAGACAUCUACAGUCAUGUUAGCAGAUGUACUUACACUUAGACAGAAGGGGUAUCCUGAAAUUUAUAAUCGCGUUAACAACGCGUUUGAAACAUUGUCUUAAUUUGUGCCUGUGGAUAUGGGUGACGUAGAAGCCAGGAUGAAAAUUUUGCAAUGUCAAUAUAAUGACGAAGGUGUACCUGACGAGGCCGGACAUGAUGGAGUGGGGGAAAGUAGUUGGGUUGUAGAAGAGCUAGCUCCAUCCACACAACCUGUAGUUGAGGAACCCAGAAAAUAUAAUACACAAAAGAAACAAUAUCAGCCUAAGAGAAUGCGACCAGUGUAAUGGGGUCUUGACCCGUAUAAUGUAUUGGAACACUUGGUCGUUUUGACUGUUGAAAUGUAUUGUUGUUG